GACGAACGCUGGCGGCGUGCUUAAUACAUGCAAGUCAACUUGACUUUAGAUAGCAAUAUCGAAAAGUAGGGUGGCGCACGGGUGCGUAACGCGUAGGUAAUCUGCCCUGAGGUCUGACAUAACCCGUCGAAAGGCGGGCUAACAUCAGAUGAUAUAUAAUCACGACAUCGUGGAAAUAUCAAAUCUUCGGAGCCUUGGGAUGAGCCUGCGUCUGAUUAGGUAGUUGGCGGAGUAAUAGCCCACCAAGCCUACGAUCAGUAGCUGGUCUGAGAGGAUGAUCAGCCACACUGGAACUGAGACACGGUCCAGACUCCUACGGGAGGCAGCAGUAAGGAAUAUUGCUCAAUGGGGGAAACCCUGAAGCAGCAACGCCGCGUGAAGGAUGAAAUACUUUGUAUGUAAACUUCUGUAAGAUGGGAAAAUAUUCUCCUCGGGAGAAUUGAUUGUACCAUCAGAGUAAGCCCGGACUAACUACGUGCCAGCAGCCG
rnacentral:rRNA from 1 species